UACGAAAGGGGCUAGCGUUGCUCGGAUUGACUGGGCGUAAAGGGCGCGUAGGCGGUUCGUACAGUCAGACGUGAAAUUCCUGGGCUCAACCUGGGGGCUGCGUUUGAUACGUGCGGACUUGAGUGCGGAAGAGGGGGGUAGAAUUCCACGUGUAGCAGUGAAAUGCGUAGAGAUGUGGAGGAACACCGAUGGCGAAGGCAGCCCCCUGGGUCAAGAUUGACGCUCAUGCACGAAAGCGUGGGGAGCAAACAGG
rnacentral:rRNA from 1 species